AAAAGACUCUAGGCAACGGAUAUCUCGGCUCAUGCAUCGAUGAAGAACGUAGCAAAAUGCGAUACUUGGUGUGAAUUGCAGAAUCCCGUGAACCAUCGAGUUUUUGAACGCAAGUUGCGCCCGAAGCCAUCCGGUUGAGGGCACGCCUGCCUGGGCGUCACG
rnacentral:rRNA from 1 species